rnacentral:tRNA from 1 species
GCGGCCGUGGCGAAGUCGGUUAACGCACCGGAUUGUGGCUCCGGCAUGCAUGGGUUCGAAUCCCAUCGGUCGCCCCA